GGGUGUAGCCAAGUGGUUAAGGCACCGGAUUUUGAUUCCGGCAUUCGUAGGUUCAAAUCCUGCCACCC
rnacentral:tRNA from 1 species